CAUCAAUUCUUUCGUCACCAUCAUCGUCUUCCUUUUCUUUCAUCCACCAACCAAUCAAAUUUGCAGAAGCAAAUCUCCAAAUUAUUGAUCGGAGCUUGCUCACCCAGCAAGUAGAAAGUCCAUGUCCAUGCUUUACAAGGGAGUCAGUGCAGCAAAAAACACAGGUGAAAUAAAAAAAAAAACCCAGUUUUGAGUUUUUAAUCCAUUGAAACCAAAACCCAGAUGAAAUCUUUUCCAGUUUUGAGUUUAAUCAUUGAACAUCAUCAAAAUCAAAUAACAAUUAAGCCAAAAAUCCAGAUAAUGGCUCUCCACAACAUGAACGGCGUGACUUGGAUUCGAUUUGCCACCUCUUGUUUUCCAUUCAAAAUCUGCUUGAUGGUAAUCAGAGGUGGGGAUGGAGAUAGAGGG
rnacentral:lncRNA from 1 species